rnacentral:rRNA from 1 species
UACGGAGGAUGCGAGCGUUAUCCGGAUUUAUUGGGUUUAAAGGGUGCGUAGGCGGGCUUUUAAGUCAGCGGUAAAAAUUCAGGGCUCAACCCCGUCCGGCCGUUGAAACUGGGGGCCUUGAGUGGGCGAGAAGAAGGCGGAAUGCGUGGUGUAGCGGUGAAAUGCAUAGAUAUCACGCAGAACCCCGAUUGCGAAGGCAGCCUUCCGGCGCCCUACUGACGCUGAGGCACGAAAGUGCGGGGAUCGAACAGG